GGUGCAGAGCCCACAAUUAGGUGGAUCUUCCUGCAACACUUUACGUAGCCAGGACACCUACCCCACCCAUACUCAAGGUCCCUUCUCCCAGACGAUUCCAGAUUCUGUCAAGUUGACCAUCUUCAUACUUUUUGAUAGAAAGAAAACAUCCACGUCCUUCAUUUGAUUGGACAAAACAAUUCACAUAGACCCACCUCUUCUGCCUGGGUAGGUCCUGCUCCCAGAAGAUGACUCUGAGACUAAUGAUUUAUUAAUAAAUGACUUGGCUACAAGCCUCAACUCAU
rnacentral:lncRNA from 1 species